UACAGAGGGGGCAAGCGUUGUCCGGAUUUAUUGGGCGUAAAGAGCUCGUAGGUGGUUCGGUAAGUCAGGUGUGAAACCUCCAGGCUCAACCUGGAGACGCCACUUGAUACUGCUGUGACUGGAGUCCGGUAGGGGAGCGUGGAAUUCCUGGUGUAGCGGUGAAAUGCGCAGAUAUCAGGAGGAACACCAGCGGCGAAGGCGGCGCUCUGGGCCGGUACUGACACUGAGGAGCGAAAGCGUGGGUAGCAAACAGG
rnacentral:rRNA from 1 species